rnacentral:rRNA from 1 species
AGCGAACGCUGGCGGCAGGCCUAAUACAUGCAAGUCGAGCGCACCUUCGGGUGAGCGGCGGACGGGUGAGUAACGCGUGGGAACGUGCCCUUUGGUACGGGAUAACUGAGGGAAACUUCAGCUAAUACCGUAUGUGCCCUACGGGGGAAAGAUUUAUCGCCAUUGGAGCGGCCCGCGUUGGAUUAGGUAGUUGGUGAGGUAAAGGCUCACCAAGCCUACGAUCCAUAGCUGGUCUGAGAGGAUGAUCAGCCACACUGGGACUGAGACACGGCCCAGACUCCUACGGGAGGCAGCAGCAGGGAAUCUUGCGCAAUGGGCGAAAGCCUGACGCAGCCAUGCCGCGUGUAUGAUGAAGGUCUUAGGAUUGUAAAAUACUUUCACCGGGGAAGAUAAUGACGGUACCCGGAGAAGAAGCCCCGGCUAACUUCGUGCCAGCAGCCGCUGUAAGAC